GGUUCCAUAGCUCAGUUGGUUAGCGCGCCUGUCUUGUAAACAGGAGGUCAUGAGUUCGAAUCUCUUUGGAACUA